GGAAAACCUGGUUGCAGAAAUUUCUGCCAAUGACUUCUUCUAGCUCAGGAUGUAUUUGGAAAUUAUGUUGUUCAGUUCAUAUUGGAGCUUAAGAUACCAUCUGUGAUAUCCAAGUUAAUAUCUCACUUUGAGGGUAACUUUGUGCAUCUCUUAACGCAGAAGUUCAGCAACCAUGUCGUUUAAAAAUGCCUUAUCGUAUGCGACUAUAAGGUCCAGUCAAAGAUAAUCCAUGAACUGGUCUCUGCAACUCACUUUGAGCAGCUGCUUCAGGACCCACAUGCCAAUUAUGUUGUUCAAACAGCUCUUCGAAUUUCUGAGGUGGGCAUAGCAAUUGCAAUAAGAUACUCAUUGACAAUGGGAGCAUUUUCAGUCACACCAAAUGGACCUGAAGUUUUAUUGCUUGAUUACCCCAGCCAUCAAAGACAACUACUCCCUCUUCUUGCAAAGACAUAUGCCAUGAGCUUUGCUGCUAACUUCUUGAAAAGGAUGUAUGUGAAGAAGAAACCUGAAAUGAUCAAAACCUUACAUGUUGUUUCAAGUGCCUUUAAGGCUACCUUAAGCUCGCAUAAUAUGCGAACACUUCAGGUAGUAGCAGACAUCACAGUUGUGAUCAAAAUGUCUUGUGGAGUCCAUUUUUAACUUUUAUUUUAGAUUAAAUAUUAUCUUGUGUUUA